UUGAGAUUGUUUAGAGGGUGACAUGAUGGUUGACAAGAUACCAUCUGUGGAGAACUUGAUAGAUCCCUUUACCAAGACAUUGACAAAGAGAUCUUGUGUUGGUAAUAGGGAUAGCAUGGGGUUCAGAUGAGUAUAUGACAUGCUUUAUAGGCAUGAUGCUUAGAGGGCUAGUGAGAGAAUGUUAGGAUAGAGCCUUUAAAACCAUAAAAUGAUGUAAUAAAUUUGGAAUUCAUUAUUUAUUUAAUGAUGUUCAAGUUUCACUUUUAUUUAUCCUUAUUCCAUGUAUUAUAAGCAUUCUUGUC
rnacentral:lncRNA from 1 species